UUUUUAAAUAUUAUGUUAAUUAGAUUUCUUUGCGAGGUAACGUUAUGAUGAAACUUUUUAACCACCAAGAUCUAUGAAUGCCGUGAUUAGUCACAGUAUUUGCUAACUGAAAUGUAUAAAUGACAAUAUUACUUUACAAAAAUAAGAAUAUUGUUAUUAUUAAAUAUAAAUCAUUUCAGGUUCAUACGCUAACAACGCUUGCGGAAGACAGUUAUAGUAAAAUGUUUAUACGCUAACAACGCUUGCAGAAGACAGUCAUAGUAAAAUGUUCAUACAGUAACAACGUUUGCGGAAGACAAUUAUAGUAAAAUACGAUUGGGAUCUAAGGAUGAUGCUUAAAAGUUAACGCUUCGCAAGAGAGGUUAAUGAUCGUAGGAGGACGACGGAUACUUUUGGAUCGAACUGAGAAUACGAAAAAGAAUAGCAUAAUAAUAUAAUAGUACGAUAUAGCUAUUCGAUGUAUGUUUACUUUACAUAUGCUAAUAAAAACAUAGACGAUAAA